rnacentral:rRNA from 1 species
AUUGAACGCUGGCGGCAUGCCUUACACAUGCAAGUCGAACGGCAGCACGGGAGCAAUCCUGGUGGCGAGUGGCGAACGGGUGAGUAAUAUAUCGGAACGUGCCCAGUCGUGGGGAUAACGUAGCGAAAGUUACGCUAAUACCGCAUACGAUCUAAGGAUGAAAGCGGGGGAUCGCAAGACCUCGCGCGAUUGGAGCGGCCGAUAUCAGAUUAGGUAGUUGGUGAGGUAAAGGCUCACCAAGCCAACGAUCUGUAGCUGGUCUGAGAGGACGACCAGCCACACUGGAACUGAGACACGGUCCAGACUCCUACGGGAGGCAGCAGUGGGGAAUUUUGGACAAUGGACGCAAGUCUGAUCCAGCCAUUCCGCGUGCAGGAUGAAGGCCCUCGGGUUGUAAACUGCUUUGUACGGACGAAAAGGUUUGUCUUAAUACGAUGAGCUCAUGACGGUACCGUAAGAAUAAG